UACGGAGGGUGCAAGCGUUAUCCGGAUUUAUUGGGUUUAAAGGGUGCGUAGGCGGCUUUAUAAGUCGGUGGUUAAAGGCAGCAGCUUAACUGUAUGCAUGCCAUCGAUACUGUAAGGCUUGAGUGAUUUGGAGGUAGCUAGAAUUCCCUGUGUAGCGGUGAAAUGCAUAGAUACGGGGAGGAAUACCGAUUGCGAAGGCAUGUUACUACGAAUUAACUGACGCUGAGGCACGAAAGCGUGGGGAUCAAACAGG
rnacentral:rRNA from 2 species